AAUUUUUAUUUCGAUCCUAAAUAAUAAUUAGUAAAUAAUUGGUGGGGCAUUUUGCAAAAAUAGUUUCCGAGAUUUCUCCGGCGCCAACGAAACCGGCGAAAUGCUGAGAAGACAACCCACCAUGAUCGACGUCGAAAUCGAGGAUAAGGAAGAACUCGAACAACUCCGUAAACGCCCCGCCGCCGCCUCCACCUACUCCUCUCUCCUCCAUAACCUCAGUCGGAAUAAAGACCCGGCCUCCAAAGCUCAGCGACUCGGUAUUUCCUCUUGAACUUAUCCAUUUCAUAUACUUCUCUGAUCUCCGAUUAGUUGGCCUAGUGAACGGGAACGAUAGGGGAUUAGUCCGAUUCUGAUCGUCCGCGUUUGCGGAAAAUUCUAGGAAGGCUACAGCAAAUUCUGCUUCGAUCAGUGAAGCUGCCUUUCUAAAGAGUGUGAAGAAGAUUCUGUGGCUCACUCUGGUUUUCUUCAUAUUUCUAUGGGCGAGAGGAAUGGAAAAAGUUUCGGAGACUCUUUCUCUACUCAUAAUUCACGUGCAGGUGUUUAUUUCAUUUAUCACUGAAAUGUUGUUGUAUGAUUUAGGAAAAGUUUGUAAGCCAAUAAGAUAAACUACGAAUGUGUAUGCCAAAGAAAUCAGUAGGAUCAAGAAGCAUGAUUUGUAAUUGAAAUAAAACGUUGUUGUUAUAUGACUAAGAUCUUGAGCAAAAUACAUUGAGGAUUGGAUUUAGUAUCUCUUUGGUCCCUAAGGUUGGCCACUUUUAGUACUCGAGCUAAAAUUAAUUCAAUAAAUAGCUGUUAAACUA